rnacentral:rRNA from 1 species
CCCGAUGAGGGCCACCCCGCCGCGGUAGUUGGGCCCGGUGAUGUCCCGCACCUCCCGGAAGGUGAAGCGGUAGUCGUGAAUGGUCACGCUGUCGCCCGCCCGCAUCCGCACGUCACGCUCCACGCUGUAAUUCUGGCUGAAGGCGAUGCCGGUAAUCGUCACCGCCAGCCCGAGGUGCGCCGCCACCAUUCCCCAGUAGCUGAGAGAGGUUUUCGUGCCGCGGGACACGCGCUGUACGGCUUCGGCCACCGCCAGCACCGCAAUCCAGCAGGCCAUCGCCAUCCCCACCGCCGUCAUGGCGAUGAUUUUAUCUUCCAGCAGCCACGGCAAAAGUACCGACAGCACCAGGGUAGUGACAACGGCAGCCCACAGCAGUUUCCUGAUGUUACGUGGCCGGUCCCGGCCCCAGCGCACCAGCGGCCCCACCCCCAGCAGCAGGGCAAAGGGGACCAUCAGCCAGGUGAACAUGGUGUUAAAGAACGGCUCCCCCACCGAAAUGCUGCCCAGCCCCAGCUGUUUGUGCACCAGCGGCAGCAGGGUACCCAGCAGCACCACCAGCAUGGCGGCCAUCAGCAGGACGUUGUUGCCGAGCAGCAGCGACUCGCGCGACCACAGCGCGUUGUUCACCCGCGAACGCACCCUGUGCCCGCGCACGGCGAACAGCAGCAGCGAGCCGCCGGUGACCAGCACCAUAAAGGCGAGGAUAAACAUUCCGCGCGCCGGGUCGGAGGCGAAGGCGUGCACCGACACCAGCACCCCGGAGCGCACCAGGAAGGUGCCCAGCAGGCACAGCGAGAAGGCGCAGAUGGACAGCAGCAGCGUCCACGCCUUAAAGCCGGCGCGCUGUUCGGUGACCGCCAGCGAGUGCAGCAGGGCGGUGCCCGCCAGCCACGGCAUAAAGGAGGCGUUCUCCACCGGGUCCCAGAACCACCAGCCGCCCCAGCCCAGCUCGUAGUAGGCCCACGCCGAGCCGAGCACGAUGCCCAGCGUCAGGAACACCCACGCCGCCAGCGUCCACGGGCGGGCAAAACGGGUGAACGCGCUGUCCAGACGCCCGCUCAGCAGCGCGGCGAUGGCGAAGGCGAAGGCCACCGAGAAGCCGACAUAGCCCAUGUACAGCAGCGGCGGGUGGAAAAUCAGCCCCGGGUCCUGCAGCAGCGGGUUCAGGUCGCGCCCCUCCACCGGAAAGGCCGGCAGCGUGCGGGCGAACGGGCCGGAGGUGAACAGGAUGAACGCCAGAAAACCGGCGCAGACCAUCCCCAUCACCGCCAGCACCCGGGCGACGAUAUCCGCCGGCACCGGCCGGCUGAACACCGCCACCGCCAGGGUCCAGCCGCUCAUCAGCAGCACCCACAGCAGCAGCGAGCCCUCGUGCGCCCCCCAGGUGGCGGCCACCCGGUACCACACCGGCAGCUGCGUGUUCGAGUUGCCGGCGACAUAGGCCACGGUGAAGUCGUUAACCACAAAGGCGUGCACCAGCACGAAAAACGCGCCCGCCACGCAGAUGAACAGCAGCCAGGCGAACACCCCGGCCGACGCCAUCAUCCGCGCGUCGCCGCGCGCCACGCCCCACAGCGGGUAAACGGACAGCAGCAGCGCCACGCCGAGCGCCAGGCACAGCAGCGCGUGGCCGUAUUCAGGCAUCAUGAUGAGGUGUCCUUAUCAGCGCGUUGCGGGCGGCGGUGGUUUUCCUGCAUCGCCUUUUCCACUUCCGGCGGGGUGUAGUUCUCGUCAUGCUUGGCCAGCACCUCCUGCGCCAGGACGUGGCUGCCCUUCUCCAGGGUGCCCUGCACCACCACCCCCUGUCCCUCGCGGAACAGGUCCGGCAGUAUCCCCUCAUAGCUCACCGUCACCGACCCUUCGGCGUCGUAGAGGCUGAAGUUCACCUUCAGCGAGUCCGGAUCGCGCCUGACGCUGCCGGGCAUCACCAUCCCGCCGACGCGCAGGCGCUGGCCCACCGCCGGCAGCUGCUGCGUCUCGCGCUUGCCGUAGAGGAUUUCGCCGGGGGUAUAGAACAGGUCGAUAUUCGCGCGCAGCGCGUACAGGACCAGGGCGGUGGUCAGCGCCAGGCCCGCCAGCACCGCGCAGACCACCCAUAGCCGGUUUUUACGUCGCAGGUUCACGCGGCCUCCUGUUGCGCCUGUGCGGCACGCAUCCGCGCCUCGCGCGCCCGCUGCUGCGCCACGCCGCGCAGAAUGGCCCGGCGCUGCAGCACCGUGUGCAGCGCCAGCAGCACCAGCGGCGCCACGGUCAUCGCCACCGCCAGCCAGACAAAAAAGGCGUACCCGCCCAUGGCGAAAAAAUCGCUCCACGAUGAAAAUGCCGGACUCACCGGUGCCCCCUUUUCAGUAUCAGUUCGCUCACCCACGGGCGGCGUUUUUCCAUCAGUAAAAUCAGGUUGCGCAUCCGCAUCAGCGCCAGCGUCAUAAAGAGCAGCAGGAAGCCGGCGAUGGCCCAGCGCAGCGGCGAGCGCAUCGCCGGGUCGAUACUCUGCUGCAUCCGCGUCGAGCCCUGGUGCAGGGUGUUCCACCACUCGACGGAAUAGUGGAUAACCGGCAGGUUCACCACGCCGACCAGCACCAGAAUGCCCGCCGCGCGCCCGGCCAUUUUACGGUCGUCAAAGGCGUGCCACAGGGCGAUGACCCCGGCGUAGAGAAACAGCAGCACCAGCUCCGAGGUCAGGCGCGCGUCCCACACCCACCAGGUGCCCCACAUCGGUUUGCCCCACGCCGCGCCGGUGACCAGCGCGAUGAAGGUGUACACCGCCCCCACCGGCGCCAUCGCCGCGACGGCAAGGCUGGCCAUUUUCAUCUGCCAGACCAGCCCGGUGAACGCCGCCACCGCCAUCGCCGCAUAGAUACCCAUCGACCAGAUGGCCGCCGGGACAUGCAGGUACAUAAUGCGGUA